UGAAACAUGAAUGGGCUAAAGGAGUAUUAAGUGACAUUGAACACCUCACAGAAGGAAAAAUAGAAGAGGUAAUAAAUGAAUAUUUGAAGGACUUCAAAGAAGAUUCGCUUCAAGCCAAGGGCUGGCCUCCUUUCAUGUCAGCCUACAUACUCUCUAAAGCAGUGAUGAACGCGUACUCCAGGAUCAUGGCAAAGAAGCAUCCAUCUAUACAGAUCAAUUGCGUCUGCCCUGGUUUUGUGAAAACGGAUAUCAAUUACAAUCGUGGGAUACUGUCUAUUGAAGAAGGCGCGGAGAGUCCUGUAAGGCUUGUCCUGCAGCCUGAUGAUGGCCCUUCUGGUUUAUUCUUUGAUCGGAAAGAAGUCUCAUCAUUCGAAUGAGAUUAUGUUGUUCGUUGUAAACGUGCAGCUGAUUAUAUAUAUAAUCCUACGAGCCUUAGAAUAACAUGUACUAAUUAUCUUUAGUGAAAUACAAUUGUGUGUUGUACUAAUAUUCUUCUCUAAUGAUGUGUUGAGCUUGAAUUGAAAAUCAGAAUAUGGCCAUGACCCUAAUCUUUGUCAAUGAGUUUCCAGGAAGUUCUAUCACCAUUUUGUAUGUUACCUCACUCACUAAAGUAACAGGACUAGUUUAGUACCAGCAUUAUAUCAAUCAACUGCUCCUUAAUCCUUAAAGGGUCGUUUGAUUUGAAAAUUGUUAUCCGGAAUAACUAAUACCGGGAUUAGUUAUCCCCGGAUAACUUAUCUCACCAUGUAUAUGGGAUAAGUUAUCCCAUCACUAAGGGGAAAAUGAUGGGGUAAGUUAUCUCGGGUUAGAUUAAUUCCUCCAACCAAACAAAGGAAAAUGCAUUCUUUUAUUUUAUCCUGGGAUAAAAAUUUUCAAACCAAACGACCCCAAGGUUUUGGGUUGACUAUAUGAAUUAUCCGCUGCUAAACUGUUUUAUUCUGAUUUACACAACUUUCUUGUCAAACAACACAACCUACUUUAAGUGUCAUGUUGCUUUGACUCUCCAAAACGAUACCACUUUUAUUUUUAAUAAUCGUGGUAUUCGUGCUAGUUUGCGUGCACUUCGACUAAAUCCACGGGAUACCUGCCACCUCCCACCAGCAACAGGUAUCAGGUAACUCUGUCCACCAAGGUUAGAACAGAUGGGAAGAAAACAACUAGUGUUUAUCUUUGCUGGGAAUUGAAUCUAAGACCUCAUGGUGCUAAUCCCAACUUCAUUGAGCCACUAGACGAUACGCUUGGGUAAAACGAUACCACUUUUCGAGGACCUUGUUGGGAAAAACAACACACAUAAUUAAUAUUUGCAGUGUAUAUCAACACACAUAAUCGAUAUCACUUUUCGAGGACCUUGUUGGGAAAAACAACACACAUAAUUAAUAUUUGUAGUUUACUUCCUCCGUUCCAAAUUAUCCGUCCUAAAUUGAGGUGACACAUUGAUUAAAAAAAAUAAUAAAUAACAUGACUAGUUUAUCAUAAUAUCCCUAUUAAAUGAUUUUGACAUUUUAAUUUAAAGAAAAAGUAAUUAAUACAAAGGGUAAAACAUGAAUUUUUUUUUAUCUCAAUUGAUUAAUGAAAAAACAAGUAAAAUAAACAUCAAAUUAGAAAAUUUGGAACGGAUAAUUUGGAAUGAAGGGAGUAUAUAAUAGCAAUAAUUCUGUGUAGAUUACAUUGAGAAUUCACAUGAAAUUCCUUUUGAAUAAGGGGAAAAUCACGUAUAGAAAGUAAUUUAUAUUGUGUAGACGCAAGUACUGCAAAAAUUACUAUACACUCAAAAGAAAUAACUUCUUUUAAUUUUUCAUGUCACUACAAUAUUUCUCACUCAAUAUUUUUCCGCACCGACUAUUUCUCUAACAGUGAAUGCUUACAACUUAUGUCUUUUUUGCAAGAGACGCUCAAGUUUAUAGAUACAAGAUUUUCAUUUUUACAGAUUGGAGAUCUAAAAAAGUCAUUUCCUUCUAUUCUAUAUGCAAAUGGCCUCAAGAAAUCAUUUCCUCCCAAAAGUCAAGUUGACAUUUUUGAAUGUAGGAAGACAGGGGCGGAGCUACAGUCACCGAAGGAUGGUUAGAUGAAUAUCUUUUGUCGGGAUUUUUUUUGAGUAUAUAGAUUAAAUAUAGAUAUUUAUGGUUAUAUACAUGUUGUUGCACACCUUUGAUAAAUUAGAGAAGCAUAAUUCAGUGGUGAGGAGUGUUGGUCAAAAGUGUGCACUUUCACAUUAACAACCUGGGUUCGAACCUUGACAGGUAAAUUAAGCCUUAACUUCAGAUAUUUAGCUAAAUUGUGCUUUUACAUGGUACACAACUCUUAGAACAAGACUCCAUGUAGGCAGUUAGUAUUCUUUUCAAUUUAAUUUACUUGUCUGAUUUUGACACAGAUAUAAAAAUUAAGAAAACAAGAAGUAGAUGCUCAGCAGAUUCUCGAAACAAACAUUCAAAAUGGGGAAAAUGCAGACCAUCAUUUUGAAAUUCGUAACUAAGCAAGUUGGAAUAAUGGUCAAGAAAAGAAAAGUGAUUUGGCAACUUGCUUUUGUGUCAACAUGUACAGUGGUCCAUUUUGUGCCAAAUUUUCAAACUAUUUAACACAAACAAAUAUAAAAUAUGAAUAAUAGUCAAAGUAUGAAAAAAUUUAUAUUAUCCAAAAGGAAACAUCCAUCAUUAUUAGUAUGUACCAAAAAAACAACUAAUAUUAUUUUAUGACCAGCUAAGUCUAUCGCAUCUUGGGAAAUACGCCAAAUUCAUAGAUGACAGGCCUCAAAUUAAAUUCUAUUGUCCAACAAGGAACUACUGCUACUAUUUUUAAACACAAGAAAGAGGACAAACUUUACAUGAGAAAUAACGUAAUAAAUAGCCGACAAUACAUUAGCCUCCCUUAUUUCAUUCCUAACUAUAUCCAGUAUUAUAUAAUUCCAUCUACUAUAGUGAAAUAGUUCUACCAAACCCAAUGCACUGUUAGUUACAUAAGCCUGCUUAGACCAAAAAAGCUGGAUAUCAAGAAUCAAGAUCUACUAAUCCUUUCAACAAUGGCAGAGAAAACCACCAGCACAAGGUAACCUUAAUGACAUAGUUUUCCUAUGAUGUUAUUGUCUGUGUGUAUAACUUAAAUUCUCUUGAGCAUUUCUAAGAAAUAUGUGUUAUGAUCAGGUAUGCAGUAGUGACUGGGGGGAACAAAGGGAUAGGAUAUGAAACAUGCAGACAAUUAGCAAGCAAAGGUGUAGUGGUUGUGUUGACAUCAAGAGAUGAAAAGAAAGGCAUUGAAGCUAUUGAAAGGCUUAAAAAGGAGACAAACAUUACUAAUAAUGAUCAAAUUUUGUUUCAUCAGCUUGAUGUUAUGGAUCCAACUAGUAUUUCUUCUCUUGUGGACUUCAUCAAGACCAAAUUUGAAAGGCUCGAUAUUCUGGUAAGUACUAUUUAAAAUAAAGAAUACACAUUUGCUUAAGAUUUAGAUGUUUAGGAGUACUAUUUAUCACUCCGCCGUGCAAUCUAUAUAUAGAGAGAGAGGGGGGUGGGUGGAUGUUUUAUGUAUUAAUUAGUUGUUCUUGUGGUCACAAAUAUUCCUAGCUUAAAUUUGUUUGACGUAACAAGAAGUCAUUUAUUACUUUUUUUUUUUUCCGAUCCACCUAGUUUACUGAUUCAAUUAGUGAAGUAUAUAUUAUUCAAAUAAAAUGUUCAAGGAGAAGUAAGAAUAAUUUAGACAAACAAUCUUACAGGGGUUAUACAAAUAUUGAAAAAGGACAAAUAGUUGGCAUGAACGUGAGGGAGUGGUUUUAAUCUUCUUGGUGUGUACUAUUGAGGGGUGGAGUAGAAGCACCGGUCCUUCAGUCAACUUGAUUGUGCAUGUUGUUACCUCCCAUAGGACCUUCGUCAGCAAUGCAAAAAAAGAGCAGGAACAAGAGGUUGUUCUCUUGUAGUGAUGGGAUAGUUGAAAUUUCUCCAUCGUCAAGUUAAUCAAAGAUUUCGAUUGAGUUAAACAAAAAAGUCUUGAGCUUAUAAAAUUUGUGUUUGUCGUCCUAUUGAAUUUAUUUUUUAGAGUUUUGAGAUUCUUCUCCAGCCUAAUUAAGUUCCUUAAUUCGAUUCCUUUAAUUACCCUCAUCAACAUCAAUUUCACAUUCUUAAAAGAAAUGGAGAAAUUACGAUUGCUUUGCAGGUUAACAACGCAGGGGUUGGUGGAUUAAUGAUGGAAGGAGAUUAUGUUAUAUUAAAAGAUUUAAUAGAAAGAGAUUUCGUAACCAUUUCUACUGAAACUGAAGUAAGUAAGAUUUCAAUUUUAAUUAAUAUGUUGCACUAAAUUAAAUUUCAUCUUCAUUGUAUUAUAGAUUAUAGCUGGUGCAACAAUUUAAUUAAUUAUUUUUAUGCAUGCAGGAAGAGGGUGAUAGGAAGAUCAAAUCAAUUGCAGGUAUUGUUACAAAUUAUGAGUUGACAAAACAAUGCCUAGAGACUAACUACUAUGGUGCAAAAAGGAUGACUGAAGCAUUUAUCCCUCUCCUUCAGCUCUCUAAUUCACCAAGGAUUGUUAAUGUUGCUUCUUUCUUGGGAAAGUUAAAGGUAAAUAUAAUAUAUAGUAAAUUAAUGGAAAUGAUCUCUUUUGACCAAUUCCUCUUAAAUAUAUUUAGUUUAGCUUAGUCUAUAGUUGUUUCAAGUGUGAUUUGCUACCUUCUUUGAUUUCGUCAAAGUGCUGUAAUUUGAAGUGUCAUGGGUUCAAGCCUUUUGGAAAUAGCCUCUGACUGAAAUGCAAGGUCCGGCUGUGUACAAUACACUUAUGUGGUGGGCAAUUUCUCUACAUUUUGUUCAUGUAGUUAGUGUCCUUAUGAUAUAUAUCAUGGACUAUUGCUAUUGCGUAACUGAUCGUGUACAAUUGCGCGCUAACUAUAAUUUACUUAGUGAUUUUCGGUUUCCUUUUUCUCUACAGCUAUUGUGCAACGUAUGGGCUAAAAAUGUGCUAAGUGAUGCUAACAGCCUGACAGAAGAAAGGGUGGAUCAAGUGUCGAAUGAAUUUCUCAAAGAUUUUACAGAGAAUUCAGUAGAAGCCAAGGGUUGGCCAAGUUACUUCGCGGCUUACAAAGUCUCAAAAGCAUCGUUGAUUGCCUACACAAGAGUUUUAGCUACCAAAUACCCGAAUUUUAGGAUAAAUUCUGUAUGCCCUGGCUUUUGCGGUACAGACAUGACCGCGUAUACUGGGAGCUUAACUGCUGAAGAAGGGGCUGAAAGCUUGGUGAAUCUUGCUUUGUUGCCAAACGAUGGACCUUCUGGCGCCUUCUUUUACAGAAAGGAGGUCACUUCUUUUUGAACACGGAUGAUCAUUCAACUAUUAAUUGUACAUGAGCUCGGGGGAAUCCAGUAUAUCUAUCGAUGUAAGAAGAAUAAGAACUCACUCUGUCGACUGAUCAGAAACCAUAACCUUUAAAUUCCUGUCAAUUUUCUCCUAAAAACAUGAAAAUUAAAGGAUCUCUGUCUGCAUAAUAUGUUAGUAUAAUAAUCACAGGUAACUUAAUGUAUGUAAUGUGAGUUAAUCAAUGCUAUUAUUUGGAUAAUCCCAGGCUCCAACCAUGAGUAUUAACUAUUGACAGGGAAAACCUGCUACCUGCUGCCAAUUUCUUUCGCGAAAAGGCCCUAAAAUAUUUGUUGGAUGUAGCGAGCAAAAAGUUCACAUUGGUAACUGAAAAGAUUGAAAAGUUACAUAUAUGGCGUUAGAUCUCUUACUGGUGCGAGACCGUUUAAGGAAAACCGUGUGGACUAGGCGCAAAUUGGAUAAUAUCACAUCAUGUUAAGAAUAUCUUUAAGCUGAUAUAUCCCAACAAUAUUGUAAUCUGUUUAACAAAAUCACAAUCUCAAAGAACAUAAGCGUCUUAUUUCCUGUAUUAUUUUUAAACCUUUCAUGGAAGAAAUGGGGAACAAGAAGUUCAUAUAUUACCCGUUCAUGUGGAUCAAGAUGUAAAUCGCUAUUUAAUUUAGGAAGAUGCAUAGUGCGUACAUAAAUGAUAUUAAGUAAUUAAACAAAGUACAAGAAGCAGAUCAUAUGAUCCUCCAAAUAUAUUUGAAAUGUAAACUACAAGCAAACAUUUUAAAAUUAAAUUCAUUACGAAAUUAUUAUUAUAAAUUUAGGAAGAUGCGUAGUGCGUGCGUAUAUGAUAUUAAGUAGUUAAAAGAAAUACAAGAAGCAGAUCAUCAACAGAUCCUUCAAAUAUAUUUAAAGUGUUAACUACAAGAGAACAUUUUAAAAUUCAUUACUAAAUUAUUAUUAUAAAUUUAGGAAGAUGCGUAGUGCAUGCGUAUAUGAUAUUAAGUAGUUAAAAGAAAUACAAGAAGCAGAUCAUCAACAGAUCCUUCAAAUAUAUUUGAAGUGUUAACUACAAGAGAAAAUUUUAAAAUUCGUUACUAAAUUAUUAUAAAUUAGGAAGAUGCAUAGUGUGUGAUCAACAAAUCCUAAAAAAUAUUAAAAGUGAAAUUAAAGCUGCCGGCGAACAUUUCGAAAUUCGCUUCUAAUUAUAAUAGCAAGUUGAAUAAUGUGAAAAAAUGCUUAAUAUAUAAUAACUUAGCAACUUGCUUGCUUUUAAGAUCAGGACAAGACUAAUAUUACACAUGUAUAUGCUAACAUAUAGUCCAUCCUAAAUCAAAAAAAGCUCAACCUAUAGCAAGAAUCUCCAAAUCUAGAGCUACUUAAUAUAUAGUUCCAACAAUGGCAGAGAAAAUCACCAGCCUCGAAAGCACAAGGUAUAUAUAUGUACAAAUACAAUUCCUUAGUUGUUUCUUCCAUCUAUUUUCUUCGAUGAAGUUCUAAAUUCUACGCACUGACUUAAUAUAACAGAUCAAAAAUUAGCUAAUAUUGUAAAAAAGAAUUAUACAUCAAUGUGCAUAAGUUUCUUUUUUGGGUAUAUGAUUAUAUUAUAUGACCAGGUAUGCAGUGGUGAGUGGGGGGAACAAAGGGAUAGGAUAUGAAACAUGCAAACAAUUAGCAAGCAAAGGUGUAGUGGUUGUGUUGACAUCAAGAGAUGAAAAGAAAGGCAUUCAAGCUAUUGAAAGGCUCAAAAAGGAGUCAAACAUUAGUAAUAAUGAACAGAUUUUGUUUCAUCAACUUGAUAUUAUGGAUCCAGCUAGUAUUUCUUCUCUUGUGAACUUCAUCAAAACCAAAUUUGGAAGGCUUGAUAUUUUGGUAAGUACUAUUUAUCACUCCAUCCCAUCUGUUCCUUUUUCGCUUGAAGAUUCCGGCAAAAAUACAUUUUUUUAUUCCUGUUAAGAUUUUUUACAUGUAUCCCUAACUUCAACUCUGAAGAAAAAGUCUUUUUUCUAACUCGGUAUAUAAUUGUCAACUCGGUCCUAUAUAUUAGUCUCUAUGUUUUCCUUAACAACUCAAGAUGAUAUGUUUAAGAUCAUAACAUGAAAAUAUAUAUAUGUAAAUUGAGACGGUACAUAGAGGAGUACUAUUUGGUAUCCAAUUUAUUUAGGUGAGACUGCUUAGCCUCCUUGAGAUCUACAAAAAUGGGUAUUUUUUAAAAGUAAAUCCCCUAGGCAAGAUGUCCAGGACUAGUUUUUUAUAUAUAUAAAAAGUAAAACUCAAAAGAAAACAGUACAAGUAAGAAAUGUCUAUGUCUUGCAUUACUAAUUUUAUUGAGGCGUAAUAAAAUUUCUUUUAAUUAAUAUGCAUGUAGCAAAUAAUAAGAAAAAAGAACUAAAUAUUCUAUAAUCAUGACGGAGUUAAUAGCCAACUCUUGAUGAUAUUACAAAUAAUAAUAGUUAAGUAAUAAAAGAUUAAAAUAGGCAAGAAUGUAAAGUAAUUUACAUUUCUCUAAAAAUUUGAAAUCUUCAAGAAGAUGUAAAAAAAUGAGUGAACAGUCAUAAAUAAUUUCUUUUUUAUUAUUUCUUUUGUGCAUUUUCUCAUAUUGUUUGGAGAAAUAAUAAAUUACUAAUUUAUUUUUUUGCAGGUUAACAACGCAGGAAUUGGUGGAUUAAUGGUAGAAGGAGAUGUACUUAUGCUAAAAGAGAUAAUAGAAAGAGAUUUCUUAAUCAUUUCUACUGAAAACGGAGUAAGAUAUAUAGCCAAUAUAAUUCUAAUAUGUUGUCAAUAAAAAGAAAUAUGGAGACGAUCUUUUUGUCAACAAUUUUCUACAUAUAUACAUUUCAAAGAAUUAAAUGCAAUAGCAACAAUUUUUAUUACUAUUAAUUAAUUAUGCAGGAAGAGGGAGGUAGGAUGAAAUCAUAUCCUGGCAUUGUUACAAAUUAUGAGUUGACAAAACAAUGCCUAGAGACAAACUAUUAUGGUGCAAAAAGGAUGACUGAAGCAUUUAUCCCCCUCCUUCAACUCUCUAAUUCACCAAGGAUUGUUAAUGUUGCUUCUUUCUUGGGAAAGUUAAAGGUAAAUAUACUUUCUGUUUUGUCGAGCUCUACAUACAUUCAAUUUGAUCGUUAAAGGUUAGUAAUCUUUGUUUUAACCAACUUACUACUAUGGGAAUUUUUGUAAUCUGAUCAAUUCUUGUGCAGCUAUUGUGCAACAAAUGGGCAACAGAAGUGCUACGUGAUGCUGAUAGCCUCACAGAAGAAAAGGUAGAUCAGGUGGUGAAUGAAUUUCUCAAAGAUUUCACAGAGAAAUCAACAGAAUCCAAAGGAUGGCCAAGUUACUUCACAGCCUACAAAGUCUCAAAAGCAUCGUUGAUUGCCUACACAAGAGUUUUAGCUACCAAAUAUCCGAAUUUUCGAAUAAACUCUGUAUGUCCUGGCUAUUGCAAAACAGACGUAAAUGCAAAUACUGGAAGCUUAACUGCUGGAGAAGGUGCUGAGAGCUUGGUGAAUCUUGCUUUGCUUCCAAACGAUGGACCUUCUGGCCUUUUCUUUUACAGAAAGGAGGUCACAUCUUUUUGAACAUUGAUUGAUUCACAAAAUUGGUUUGCGUGUGUGGCAGAAUUCAAUCGUUUCUUAUCAAUUUUAUAUACAUUGCAAGAAUAAGUUGGAGAUGCAUUUUAAAACUCACUUGAAUUUUAUCGUUUAAAUUCUGAAUUAUUCACUACUGUUAUAGUGUUAUUUUGGAGAUAGUUAAUUAAAGGAUGUGCAUUCCUACUUCCUUAUUUACGAGUAUUUUUUUGCUGAUUUUUUUCAGAUAUGACUUCUUAAUCAUCUGAAUAUACUCUACUAUUUCAUAUAUGCUACUAGGAAUUAUAACUUAAUUAUACUGAACACCACCAAUAAUAUGAUUUCGUUUCGAAUAAACUCUUUGUAUUUAAAAUUUAAAACCAAUACUAAGGCAAAGGAGUGUCUUGAGAUAAACUAUCAUGGUGUGAAAAGAAUGACUGAAGCAUUUUUUCCACUCCUCCAAUAUUCCAAGUCGCCGAUGAUUGUCUGUGUAAUACGUUAGCAAUCACAGGAAACUUAAUAUACAUAAUGUAAAUGAUUAAGAUAGGUUAUUUAUCUGCCAAUUUGAUAAUUCAAUGCAAAUAUUACAUGAGAAGCUGACUGAAAUUUUCCUAACUACAUUUCCAGAACUUGAAACAUGAAUAGGCUAAAGGAGUAUUAAGUGACACUGAACACCUCACAGAAGAAAAAAUAGAAGAGGUGAUAAACCAAUAUCUGAAGGACUUCAAAGAAGAUUCACUUCAAGCCAAGGGCUGGCCUUCUCUCAUGUCAGCCUACAUACUCUCUCAAGCAGUGAUGAACGCGUACUCCAGGAUCAUGGCAAAGAAGCACCCAUCUAUACAGAUAAAUUGCAUCUGCCCUGGUUAUGUGAAAACGGAUAUCAAUUACAAUCGUGGGAUACUGUCUAUUGAAGAAGGCGCGGAGAGUCCUGUAAGGCUUGCUGAUAACAGCCCUUCUGGUUUAUUCUUUGUUCGGAAAGAAGUCUCAUCUUUCAAAUAAAGGUAUGUUGGUCACUGUAAACGAGCAGCUGAUUAUAUAAGCCUAUAAGGCCUGUAACGACAUGUACUAAUAAUCUUUUAAUGAAAUACAGUCAUAUGUUGUACCUGAUAGUUUGAGGGAUAUAUUCUUCUCUAAUGAUGUGUUGAACUUGAAUUGAAAAUCAGAAUAUGGCCAUGACCCUAAUCUUUGUCACUAUAAGAGUUUCCAGAGAGUUUUAUCACCAUUUUGUAUGUUACCUCACUCACUAAAGUACCAGCAUUGUAUCAAUCAACUGCUCCUUAAUCCAAAAAAAAUUUGGGAUUGGCUAUAUGAAUCAUUCACUCGUUCGGCUACACUGUUUUAUUCUGAUUUACACAACUUUACUGUCAAAAAACACAGCCUACUAUAAGUGUCUUGUUGCUUGAACUCUCCAAAAAAAUACCACACUUUGAGGAUCUUGUUUUGAAAAACAACACACAUAAUUAAUAUUCGCGGAAUAUAUAAUGGCAUUAAUUUUGUGUAGAUUACAUGGAGAAUUUUACGUGAAAUUCCUUCUGAAUAUUAGCAUAUAUAUAUAGAGAGAGAGAGAGAGCUACUUAUAGUUUCAACAAUGGCAGAGAAAAUCACCAGCUUCGAAAGCACAAGGUAUACAUUUGUACAAAUACAAUUCCUUAGCUGUUUUCUUUGUCUAUUUCUUCGAUGAAGUUCUAAGCUCUACACGUUCAUACUGUAACUAUAUCAUUUAUACAAUUACACUAAUUAUUAGGCAAGUAAUAUGUGAUUUGGUAAAAAUGAUAACUAACUGACUAUAACAAAUCAAAAAUUACGUUAAUAUUAUAAAAAAGAAUUAUACUAAUAUUUUUUUGGGGGGUGCGGGGGUGGGGUGGGGGGUAAUACGACUAUACGAUAUGGUCAGGUAUACAGUGGUGAGUGGGGGAAACAAAGGGACAUCAAGACCAAAGUUGGAAGGAUUGAUAUUUUGGUAAGUACUAUUUAGGGUAAAAUAUCAAAAUAUACAUCUUUAAAUUAUAUAUUGCAAGUCAUAGCAAUAUUUCAAUUAAAUCCUUAAUUCAAUAAUUAUAUAAAAAUAUUGCUAUUACUUACAAUAAACAAUCUAAUAACUAUAUACAAGAUAAUUUUCACAAUCCGAAUUAAUAAGACAUGGUAUUUUGAAUUGCUUCAAUAAUUUUAGUUCUUUGAUUUUUUUUCCUUUUUAUCAUUUCUUUGGUACAUUUUCUCACAUUGUUUGGAGAAAUAAGAAAUUAUGAACUAAGGCCUUGCAUGUUAACAACGCAGGAAUUGGUGGAUUAAAAGAAAAGUAAAACACUCACAAUAUUGCAGAUUCGUCACCGACACCGUGACUAACAUGUCCUUUAGAAAUUGCAAAGAAAUAUGUACAUCUAAAUUUAUAGACUCAACAUUAUCUUCAGAGAUAAAAUUUAUUUCUACAUUGUUAUCCAUUUUCUUGAGGGACGCCUGAACCAGAUGCUUUGGCUCAUGGCAGGUACAUGACCAGUGCUCCUUUCCUCCACACCGAUAGCAUUUAUUUUCUGAAUUUUUCCUUUGCAUUGCUUCAGUAUUUUCACCCUUCUUUUUACAUUGCUGGUGUUGAGGUUCAUUGUUUAAUGCAAGAUGACCACCUUGAUGAAAAGUUCUUCCUCAACCACGACCACGAUCACAAUCACGAUUAGGGCCAGGGCCUCUUUCACGUCUAGAUUGGUGAAAAUUUGCAACAUUUAUUUUAGAAAAUGGAGUAGUACUAGUAGGUCUAUUUUCAUGAUGUUUUAUCAAAAGAUCAUUGUGUUGUUCAGCAACAAGAAGAUGUGAAAUCAGUUUAGAAUAAUUUUUGAAUUUCAUUUCUCGAUACUGCUGCUACAGGAGCAUAAUUGAAGCGGGAAAGGUUGAGAAUAUUUUCUCUAGCAUGUCAUGAUCGACAACACUUUCUCCGCUUAAAUUUAACUGCGAUUUAAUUCUAAACAUGGCACAAUUAUAUACAGUUAUAUUUUUAAAAUCUUUUAAUCUUAGAUGGGGUCUAUUCAUAGUGUGCUUGUGGAAGUACGAUCAUCUUCAUGUGGUCAUAUCUCUCUUUUAGGUUAUUCCACACUAUAAGUGGAUCCUUAAUAGUGAGAUAUUUCAUUUUUAAGCUUUCAUUAAGAUGAUUACGGAGAAAUAUCAUGACCUCGACAUAGUCUUGAUACGAUGCUUGAUUGUCAUUUUGAUGGUGUCUGCCAGACUCAUCGCAUUUUCGACAUCAAAUGCGUAAGAUAUGUAAGUUUUUCCCGAUAUAUUCAGGAUAAUAGAUUCAUCUUUAGAUGUAUUUGACAUUGUUGACACCUAAUUUUUGCCCUCCACGACUAAAUUUAAUCCUGAGUUUCUUCAGUUUUUAAUAAACCAAAAUAAUUAUUUCAUCCAAAUUAAAAAAAAAAAAAAACUUAAAAUAUUCUUCGUACGUGAUUUUGUCAUUUUAAGUAGCGAUUAUAUACUAUCGUGUUCAGUUAUACGAGAUUAUAUAAUUUGUUACUUAAAUAUUUAUUUUACAAAAUAUCGAAUUUAAUUAAGGCUUAUCUUGAAAAUAAAUUCAAAUGAUUAAAAUCUUAAUUUAAAUAUAAUUUAUUCUCAAAAAUAAUUUCUUUGGAUAAAUAUGCAUUCAUUUUAUUAAAUCAAGAAGCUCGGGAUAAAAAAANNNNNNNNNNNNNNNNNNNNNNNNNNNNNNNNNNNNNNNNNNNNNNNNNNNNNNNNNNNNNNNAAAAUUCUCAAAAACUCUCAUAACUUUUACCCAAUUCCCACCAAAAAAUAAAUUCAAAUUGUACUAUUCCCCCAACUUUGUCCUUUUCCAAUUUUGAAAUUCAAAUAUUGUACUAUAUUGUACUAUUUUCCCUCACAUUAUCUUCCACCUCACCUUAUCUUUAAUUUUUACAUUCCAAAAAACCCCCCUAAAUGCUUUUUCUCCCACAUUGGUAGAUGACAAGAAAUAAAUCUCUAUCAUUUCCUAUAAAUACUUUUACAUUGGUGGAAAAGGGAAAAAAAUAUCUCAUUCUCUCCUAUAAAUACGACCACUACUUUGGUACAGAGAGGAGGGAAAAAGGAAGAAAAAAAAAAAGGCUCAAGGUGAAAAAAUCCUUUUGAGCAAAAUAGUUAUUUUUAUUUAGUAAAAAUUUUUAUUUCAUAGAGUAGGUCGUCUAAUCAAAAUUUUUGAGUUGCCGGCAACGUUUUUCGGUGGUAAUUGAUUCCGACGAAACUCGUAGUCUCGUUUUGUUGCCCCCAAAAAGGAAAACACACCUUUUUUUUAUUUUAGUUUUUUUAUUAUUGUUUUCUUCUUCAUCUUUUUUCUUCUUCGUAGUUCAUAGAUAUAAUUUUGUUUGCUGGGAUUGUAUGUUGUAGAUGGCCUUGAAGGCCUUAGGACGUUGUGGUAUCGAUAUUCUAAUUAUUCUCAUGCUCGUGAUAUAAAAAUGAGCUAGCAAUAGUUGUAUGUGCCUUUUUUGACUUUAUUCUUUGAUUAUUUUGGAUAAAAUUUCAAUCUUUACUUAAAAGAUGUAUUUUUGCUUUGUUUAAACUCAUUGUUGUUGGAUAUAUUUGUUUUUAGUAUAUAAAGUUAUUUUCUUUAUAUUUAAAAGAAUAGUUAAUGUUGAAUGUUUUGUCUUUUCGCCUUAUUCUUUGAUUAUUUUGGAUAAAGUUUAAAUCUUUGUUUGAAAAAUAUAAUCAUGUCUUGUUCAAACUCAUUGUUGUUGAAUAUGUUUAUUUUUGGCAUAUAAAGUUAUUUUCUUUAUGUUGAAAGGAAUAGAUAAUAUUGAUUGUUUCUCUUUUUUUUACUUUAUUCUUUGAUUAUUUUGGAUAAAGUUUAAAUCUUUGUUUGAAAAAUAUAAUCAUGUCUUGUUCAAACUCAUUGUUGUUGAAUAUUUUAUUUUUAGCAUGUAAAGUUAUUUUCUUUUUAUUGAAAAGAAUAGUUAGUUAUUAUUAUUUGUUGCGCCUUAAUAAAAAUAGUAAUUAAUUAAGUCAAGAAUUUGUCAUUUGCUUACUAAUUAUUUUAAUAGAUUUCAAAAUCCUCGUAUAAGAUAUGAAGUGCUAGCUUUACUUUUCAUCCAAGAUGUUUAUUACUUUUUGUUCGCAUGUUGUCUUUUUCAAAAUGAUAAGAAAGGUCGAACUUUCACGGUUAAAUAAAAUUAUUUGGAUAUUUUUGACUCAUGCAUAGUAUGAUUGUGAAACGAUAUUUCACUUUUAGAAAUGCUAAACUUUUAUUCUUAUUUUCUUACUCCGAAUUGUUAUAUGUGCUCUUUGUGUGUGUAAAGACUUGAUUCAUGUCUCUCUUUUAUUCAUAAUGUGAAAAGAGAAUCAACAAUGUCUUAGAAAUAUAAACCAUAGGUCGUUACGCGUUUUUUCAUAAAAUGUUGAUUGUGAUUUAGAUGUAUGAAUUUUCGUUAAUGUCCCCUUAAUUGAGAUUUAGGAUUCUCUUGCUUAAAAAGUUAAGCUUUAUUUUCUUUUGUUAUAUGGAUUAGUAUCUAUGUUUGUUCAAUUUUAGAAGUCAUGAGUAUUUUCCUUGUUGCCUCAUCCCUUUACUUUCGCAAGCUUACGUUGUUUGUUUCUUGUAUUAAUUCAUUGAAUAUGACCUUCUUCCUUUUACCUUUAUUCAUUCUUGUAUGAACAUAAAUCAUGAGGUAUGUAAGUGGGUGUCUUUGCUUUGCAUUUUAUUUGUUGACUCUCAUUCUUGUGCAAGUGUGCUUAUCAUUGUCAUUCAAAAAUUGGUCUUGAACAUAUAUUAAUUUCUUUAUCUUUUCUUUGCAUGCAAAAAAUAUCUCGAGUUCAAAUGGACUCCUCUCCUCUUUCAUUUCAUAAUGAGUAAAUGAUGCUCACCCCUUCGAGUCAAGUUCGAAGUUUAAACCCAAGAUCCACUACAUGACGUGCGGGUGCUAGAAGAUAGACGAAGAAGGAAAAGUUGGGGCCUCGAAGCCAAAGUUGUAUUUAAUACAGGUGAAGUGAGACUCGAGUCAAAGGCUCAAAAAAUAGUUUGGGACAGGUAAAAUGGGUCGGAAGUCCAACUAGACUAGAACAAGUCUCGUUGAUUUGGGUCCAAGGACCUAAAUCCUUUACUUUCUCCUCCCUUCCCCUUUUAUGUGUUUUUUUGUUUAUUAGUUUUGUUUAGACUUAGUUAAAAUUCCUACUAAGUCGCCUAAAUCUAUUUUACACAAGUCUUUUUUUUUUUGAAAAAAAAUCAAAUCACUAUUUCAACAAAUUAAUCUUUUCGAAGUUAAUCAAAAGACGAUUUUCAAACAGUCCGGAUAACCGCAAGUUAGCGGACGUUUUAGGUGCCUAACACCUUCCUAAAAUGUUAAUAAGAACCACUUAUAUAAAAUCUCUAACUUAAAACGAUUUUUCUGUUUUGAAUCGUUUGAAGUAUCUCUCUAAAGGUUUCUUAAUUCCUUUUCAAAAUUAAGUGGGACUCUCUUCAAAAGUCAAAAUUUCCACAAAACAGAUAUUAUUUUAAGAAAAUUAAAUUAUUACCUUUUCUAUCAUUGAAAAGAUUUUAUAGAAAUAAAAUAAAGUAUAAUUUUAUUUCAUGUUUAGUUUGAUACAUAUAUUAGUUAUAAUCGUGAUUAUUUAUUUCAUUAUUUACAUCACAAUGGAUAGAAUAACUUAUUCCAAAAUUAAUUAUUUUGAAAUAAUUAAUUUCAAAAUUAAUUAUUCCGGAAUAACUCUUUACCAACCAAACUACCCUUAAGAUACUAAUUUAUAGCCAAAGUACAACCUUAUCGAUUACCAAAAAAAAAAAUUACAACCUUAUCUACAUUACCAUGUGGAUAGUGAUUUGAUUUAUGAGCCAAUCUAAGUCCUCCAUUUUAGACACAUGGCAUCCAAUUUCAUGACAUCUAAUAUAUUGUCCAGCCUAAAUCUAAAAAAGCUGAACCUAUAGCAAAAAUUCCCAAAUCUAGACCUUCUUAUAGUUCCAACAAUGGCAGAGAAAAUUAUUGGGUUAUUAGGUCCUUUUUUUUUUUUACGUGGAUAAAUUAAGCUCAAUUUAGAUCAAUUUACCUUUGUUUAUAGGCCCAUUACUAUGGGGCAUAUAUAUUGAUCUUUUUAGGUUUUAUCCACCAUCACAAGAAGAGAGUUUUUAGCAAUCAAAAAGAAAAAAACAAAGCUAAUUUUCACACCUAAAUUUCAGCCACAGCUAUCAACUUCAAAUUGCGAUUCCCGUUUCAUUUCUUGUUGAUUGAGCUGAUUUUUAGACUGCUUGUUUCUCUCAUAUCAAUCUUUGAUUAGGAACUGACGGAGCUUGAUUUGAUGGCCUGUAACUCCUGUUCUUUAUUCCCGAACAGUAGCUGUAUUUUUUGUGCUUUCACUCCUUUAUUUCUUUAGUGUUUGGUGCUGUGGUUUAUGUAUUGUUUCUUGUUGUUUGGCACUUGCUUUGUGGUCAUUUUGAAGGACAAUAUUGUAACUCUUUGGUGAUUAUAGUGGAGUUUUAGUCCCGUGGUUUUUUACUCUUCAUACCGAAGGAUUUUUCUCGUAAAUUUGGUGUCUUGUGUGAUUGCCUUUAUUCUUGUCCUAUCGCAUUUGUGUGAUAAUUCAUUUGCUGCCAUAUUACUUUGUUUUGCUUGGUUUGAUUGUCUCCUCUUGAUUCAAAUUGAAAGGAAAAAUUUAGUUUUGGGUAUUUUCCGCUGCUAUCCUGUCGGGUUCUUUGAUUGUGUGCUCGUUUUUUCCUAACAAGAAAAUCACUAGCCUCGAAAGCACAAGGUAUACUAUACAUAUGAACAAAUAUAAUUCCUUAGUUGUUUUUUCUAUCUAUUUUCUUUGAUGAUGUUCUAAUAACUUGUACGUACUGAUACUGUAACUAUAUCAUUUGCACAAUCUACUUAUUAUUAGGCAAGUACUUUGUGCUUUGAUUAAAAUGAUAAUUAACUGAUUUACUAUAACGGAUCAAAAAUUACGCCAAUAUUGUAAAAUUUUCCCAACACUAUUUCCAGAACUUGAAACAUGAAUGGGUUAAAGGAGUAUUAAGUGACGUUGAACACCUCACAGAAGAGAAAAUAGAAGAAGUAAUUAAUGAAUAUUUGAAGGACUUCAAAGAAGAUUCGCUUCAAGCCAAGGGCUGGCCACCUUUCAUGUCAGCCUACAUACUCUCUAAAGCAGUGAUGAACGCGUACUCCAGGAUCAUGGCAAAGAAGCAUCCAUCUAUACAGAUCAAUUGCGUCUGCCCUGGUUUUCUGAAAACGGAUAUCAAUUACAAUCGUCGGAUGCUGCGCGGAGAGUCCUGUAAGGCUUGCCCCACAGCCUGAUGAUGGCCCUUCUGGUUUAUUCUUUGAUCGGAAAGAAGUCUCAUCAUUUGAAUGAGAUUAUGUUGUUCGUUGUAAACGCGCAGCUGAUUAUAUAAGCCUACAAGGCCUAGAAUAACAUGUACUAAUUAUCUUUAGUGAAAUAUAAUUGUGUGUUGUACCUGAUAGUUUUGAGGUAGCUUGAAUUGAAAAUGAAUGUGGCCAUCACCCUAAUGUUUGUCACUAUUAAGAGUCUCCAGGAAGUUUUAUCACCAUUUUGUAUGUUACCUAACUCACUAAAGUAACAGGACAAAUUUAGUACCAGCAUUAUAUUAAUCAACUCCUC
rnacentral:lncRNA from 1 species